GGCCAGACUCCUACGGGAGGCAGCAGUGGGGAAUAUUGCACAAUGGGGGAAACCCUGAUGCAGCGACGCCGCGUGAGCGAUGAAGUAUUUCGGUAUGUAAAGCUCUAUCAGCAGGGAAGAAGAUGACGGUACCUGACUAAGAAGCCCCGGCUAACUACGUGCCAGCAGCCGCGGUAAUACGUAGGGGGCAAGCGUUAUCCGGAUUUACUGGGUGUAAAGGGGGCGCAGACGGCGAUGCAAGCCAGGAGUGAAAGCCCGGGGCCCAACCCCGGGACUGCUCUUGGAACUGCGUGGCUGGAGUGCAGGAGGGGCAGGCGGAAUUCCUAGUGUAGCGGUGAAAUGCGUAGAUAUUAGGAGGAACACCAGUGGCGAAGGCGGCUUGCUGGACAGUAACUGACGUUGAGGCUCGAAAGCGUGGGGAGCAAACAGGAUUAGAUACCCCCGUAU
rnacentral:rRNA from 1 species